rnacentral:tRNA from 1 species
GGGGUUGUGGCUCAGCGGUAGAGUGUGCGCCUAGCGCGUGUAAGGCCCUGGGUUCGAUCCUAGCACCA